UACGAGGGGGGCAAGCGUUGUUCGGAAUUAUUGGGCGUAAAGGGCGCGUAGGCGGUGCGGUAAGUCACCUGUGAAAACUCUGGGCUCAACUCAGAGCCUGCAGGCGAAACUGCCGUGCUUGAGUGUGGGAGAGGUGCGUGGAAUUCCCGGUGUAGCGGUGAAAUGCGUAGAUAUCGGGAGGAACAUCCGUGGCGAAGGCGGCCAUCUGGAUCAACACUGACGCUGAGGCACGAAAGCGUGGGGAGCAAACAGG
rnacentral:rRNA from 1 species